CGCAUUUCAGACCUUGGCUUUUUUGCUUUUCUCUUUCUACCUCCUUUCCACACCUGGGCCGGAGUGAAAGUGGUGGGACUGAAAAUAACUCGGAGCCGGUCCCAACUUCUAGAUCACCUCUUCCCGCCACUGCUGCUGUUCGCUCCUCGUGACGAUGCAGCUGUGCCCGAGUGACAGGAGAAACAUAAACACUCCUUCACCACGCCUGCCAUAGUCAACCUCCUUUUCAACGUCGCCUCCACCAACACCACCAUCUCCUUCACUGUGGUGCUGUCCAUGGUCAGCCUGGUGUCUCUCCUGGUGGGGGUCGGGGGUCCCCUCCUGUUGUGGCUGGUGCUGGUGAGGAACCCCCGCAGUCGCUCCAAGCCCAGCUCUAUGUUGCUUCAAUCUCAGCCUGGCGGACCUGGGCGCCCUGCUCACCCUGCCCUGC
ensembl:lncRNA